rnacentral:rRNA from 1 species
UACGAAGGGGGCGAGCGUUGUUCGGAAUCACUGGGCGUAAAGCGUGCGUAGGCGGCUCUAAAAGUUAGGAGUGAAAGCCCCAGGCUCAACUUGGGAAUUGCUCUUAAUACUGUAGGGCUCGAAUUCGGGAGAGGAUAGCGGAAUUGUCAGUGUAGCAGUGAAAUGCGUAGAUAUUGACAGGAACACCGGUGGCGUAAGCGGCUAUCUGGACCGACAUUGACGCUGAGGCACGAAAGCGUGGGGAUCAAACAGG